CCAUAAACAACUUUAUAUAAAAACACAUUUAAGGGUAAUUUAAAAGGGUCGUUUUACCUUUCUUCAUUUUUAUUCCUUACCCUAUAUUAUCAUUUAAAUGAAAAUGAAGUUCAACUGAAUGGGACUGAUUAAAUUAUAUCAAAACGGCUUUGUUGGCCUGCUCCCUGAGGCCUUACUUUUCUGUUUAAGUGCGUAUUUACCACUCGGUUAUACAGAGAAGGAAAACAAGUGAGAAAACACGCCGGCCUUUGACCAAAAAAGUCGACAACAUGAGUUUUUACUCCGGCUUUUCCUCUCGCCCUACACCCUCUGUCUUCUUUGCCGAUAAGUACGGAUGUCU